UACGUACGGGGCAAGCGUUGUCCGGAAUCACUGGGCGUAAAGCGCACGUAGGCGGUUUGGCAAGUCAGGGGUGCAAGCUCUAGGCCUAACCUAGAAAUUGCCUCUGAAACUACCAAGCUUGAGGGUCAGAGGGGAAACUGGAAUUCACGGUGUAGCGGUGAAAUGCGUAGAUAUCGGGAGGAACACCAGUGGCGAAGGCGGUUGCCUGGAGCUUUGCUGACGCUGAGGCGCGAAAGCUAGGGGAGCAAACGGG
rnacentral:rRNA from 1 species